CACUGGAGCGUGGUGGCAAUGGUCUCUGUUCCAGCCAUGACCAGGUCAAGUAUGGAUGCCAUUAAGUUGUCAUCAUGGAAGAGGCUGUCCUUCUUGUGCUUCUCCUUGAAAAACACAAGAGCUAAAGCCUUACAUGAAGCAGAGGAUGGACAAAGCAAGAAGUCCUCUGAAAUAGUCAGGGGUGGAAAAACUAUGGGAUUGUUUGUAGGGCUGAAUUUCCAAACUCAGCCUCUUGCUUCUGAAGCUGUUUCAGGCUGGACAACCUGAGAACUUUUGUGGGGAGGCAAAGGUGUGGGAACUGACAGGACAAAGGCAGUGGGAGAAAGGGAAAAACCCGACAGCUCCCAGCAGCCAAGCCAGGUAGUCCAAAGUCUCCUGGAAACGUGAGGAGGGUUCAUAAACCAGUGGUGACAGCGAGCUGCUCACACCAACAUCGCACAGAGAUUAACCCCGGAGUUACCACAGUGCCUCCAAAAUCCCACUCCUCCCACCCCUCAACUCUUUGGAUACGGACGGGCUGCAAGUGCAUCAGCAGAAAUGAUGGAAAGCCAGGAGCCACUGUGUGCAGGGAAAGCCAAAUGUUUGCUGUCACUUGGCUUCAGAAGGGGAUGUUUAAAAGCUGGGCUCCAGGGAUGCACAGUUGGGCUGUGCCUCAUCAUCAUCAUCAUCACGGGCACUAAGCGACAGUGUUGUCCUCCCACCCCCCCCUCAUUGCUCUAGUACCGUUUUUGUUCUGAAUUUGGUCAAAUAUUGGGAUGGAUGGUCUGUCUACAAACUCCUCUGUGUAGUUCACAAGCGCCUCUCGCACAACUUCGUACCCGGUCAGCACCACAACUUUCUGGAACCCAAAGUGCAGGGUGAAGAUGGGGCCGUAUUUUUCUGCAAGCUGAAAAAAAAGAGGAGAGCUGUGAUGGUCAGGAAGGGAGGGAGAGUGCAUGGAGCAGCAUCUUGUGCUGUCUGAAAGGACAUUUUUCAUCCUGGUGUCCUGCAGAGCCACCACCUGCAGAAGGGCACCUGUGAGCCAGAGCUCACCGUGGUCAAACAUGAGGCAUUUUGUACAGAUGCCUUGAUGACAUCUGUAUGGAAUUCAGACUUCUUGCCAUGAAGGAGCCCCCACCCCCAUCAGUGCAUCACUAAUCUGGUUUUGCCGUUAAGGAGAAAAUAAAUGGAAAACAAAAAAAAAAAAAAAUCUAAAGACUGGACCUUAAAUUGCAACUAAAGUUGGCAAACUGGAGAAAGACUAAAAAAGAGAAGAUAGUUCAGUGCAAAUAAUGAUGCUGUCACAGAAGAAAGCUGUGGUCUGAUGCUCCUGAUGUACUAAAGCACUCCUGCAUCCUGCUGCUAGUGGAGCAGUGUCUCUUUCACAGGACAAUGGGGGCACCCUUCAUUGCCCACCCAACAAACCCCAGUCGGUGCCAGCUGCUUUGUGCAAACACCAUUCUUUGCUCUCCGUGGGGUGAGAUGGAGGGAUAACCCCUCUGGAGAGAUCCCAAAGCCAAGGCAAACACAGGCAAUACCAAGCACAGCCCAGUAAGGGACAAAAGCACGCGGAGGUAAUUCCAAAGCGCCGUUCAGAGGCUGCAGCAGCGUCUGCCCAGCCCUGCUGGGUAAACUGACCCCAACCCUGACACUGCCCAUAACAGCUCCAGGUGCUGGGGCCUCGCCCCGUGGCAGCACAGCCCGUGUUUGCUGAGCAUGGGUGUCACACCUGGCUGUGAACCCCCCUGCCUGUUUGCUCACUCUCUCUGUGACCCCAGCAUGGGUCAGCCCCGAGGGAGCCAUCCCUGAGGGAGCCAUCCCCGAGAGAACCAUCCCAAAGGAACCAUCCUGAAGGAACCAUCCCGAAGGAACCAUCCUCUAAAGCCGGCGGGAAUGCCCAGCAGCCCCAGGAGAAGCCUCAUCCUGCACACAGUGGGGGCACAGCACAGACCAGGUGAGGCAUGGGAGUCAAGGUGAAGCCAACAUCAGCAGUGAGAUCCAGGUCUGACUUCUCCACUCCUGGAGGAGGCUGGAAAACAAAUCUGCGGAGCAAGCCCGAAAAGAAGAGGAACAGCUCCAUCCUGGCCAGUCCUUCACCAAGGCAAGCCCUUCUCCCUGAAGACAACCAGGGGAGAAGUUAAUGGUCAGCACAGUAACUGUUAGUGUUGAUGUCUGAGACAUUCUAAACAGGAGAUAGUCUGGAAGAGCAGGCUGCUGAGGAAUUGCACAUUUGCCCCUGCCUGCUGGCUCAGCCCCUACCUCUGUCAGCGACUGGAAUGGCUUUUUCAGGUCCACCACGUUCAGGUUCCCGAUCACAGGAAGAGGUCGUGGCCCAGGGGGCAAAUUGCAAACGGACUUCUUGGAGCUGGAGAGAAAGUACAGGAGAGCAAAGAGCCCUGCUGCCAAACAGAGCAGUGAGCAGGAGCCCAGGGUCAAAACUCAAGGACAGGAGCCAUGCUGGAUGCUGUCCCUGUGCCAGGUCACAGGAUUCAUCUGGACCCCGGUGAUGCAAUGGAGGAAGCAGGGCACAGGUGGGAAAGGCCACAACAAUUCACAGCCCAGGGUAAGCAAGCCCUUGGGGAGGACAAGACUGACCAUGGACAAGCUGGAAUGGUGGGAUGAAGAUGUGUUAAUCAGGAUUGCUGACAGGAGCAGAUCUAUUUACAGGAACCUGAAUUGAAAGGGAGAAAAAUGGUUUACAACAGCCUGUGGCAGUGAUGGAGCAAGAGCCUUAUGUAAGAGCUGGCGGAGGUGAGGCAGCAAUGAGUGAUCCUGGAAGGAUGUUUCUCUGAGGUGUGUUCUCUCCUGGCCUGGGAACAGCAGUCUCAAGGGCACAAAUUCCAGCAUCUGAAUGUGCUUGGUCUUGUUCAGCUCAUUAAUUUCCUACAGCUAUCCCAAGUCAAGCUAUGAAAUCCCCUAGUGCUUUACCCCGAGCCUUUCAUGGCUUGUCAAUAAAUUAUUUUCCAAUUAAGUACCUGAUAAUUUGAGUCUGCAGGCUCUUAGGAGAGGCAGCGUGGUGAGAGAGAGAAAAUAAUGGAAGUCAUGGACGUUUCCCUGCCUGUAAAAUGAAUAAAGGUUCUUCUCUGAAGUGUUACUCAAUUUGGUGCUUCCACAAAGCAAUGGUGAGUGUGUAAUAACUCCUUCUGAGGAGGUGUUUGUCCACCUGAUGGAUAAAAACCACCAGUGGAGUGAGUUUUCAGCACUACCUGAAACACUGGAAAAGAACAGUUUUAAAUGUUAUUUCAGUCCAUAUUAAUGAUGAAAGGUCUGAUUCAAGCAAAGGAUUUUUAUUUCUUUUUUAGUGUUUCAAGCUGUGUAACUUGAAAGGGGAAAAGCCAAGAUUUUCCCUAGUUUGGGAAAUCUUCUAAUUCAAGGAUUUCAAUUUUUGGCAAGGGCUCGGGACUCCAUGCUAGAGAUACUAUGAAAUACCACAAAUUAUCUAAUAUCUCUUGUACAAUGAGCACCCUUUUGUUGAAGCAGCUAUUUCAGAUUUCCCUGAUGCAGUCAAAGUCUCUUGCUCCUUUGAAAGAUAAUAUGUGAAAAACAUUUCAUUCUCUGUUUGUGGCACUGCUGUUUGUGGCUCUGUUUUUGUUGAGUUCUUUUGGAACUGGUUGGUUUAAUCCACAAAUGAGUUUUUUCCCUCACAAUGAUUAUCUAAUGGGGAUUUUAUUUGAUCUCCUUGGGAAAAAUUUAUCGUGAGUUGCUCAAGCAUGUGUAUUAGAUUGUAUGAGAACCUGUACCUUUAAAGGAAAUUCUAGAAGGUACAACUGGCAUUUGCAAUAAAAACAUUAAGUAAUCAUAACCAAA